rnacentral:rRNA from 1 species
GGAAUCUUCCACAAUGUGCGAAAGCCUGAUGGAGCAACGCCGCGUGUGUGAUGAAGGCUUUCCGGUCGUAAAGCACUGUUGUAUGGGAAGAACAGCUAGAAUAGGGAAUGAUUUUAGUUUGACGGUACCAUACCAGAAAGGGACGGCUAAAUACGUCCCAGCAGCCGCGGUAAUACGUAUGUCCCGAGCGUUAUCCGGAUUUAUUGGGCGUAAAGCGAGCGCAGGCGGUUUCUUAAGUCUGAUGUGAAAGCCUUCGGCUUAACCGAAGAAGUGCAUCGGAAACUGGGGAACUUGAGUGCAGAAGAGGACAGUGGAACUCCAUGUGUAGCGGUGAAAUGCGUAGAUAUAUGGAAGAACACCAGUGGCGAAGGCGGCUUACUGGACUGUAACUGACGUUGAGGCUCGAAAGUGUGGGUAGCAAACA